CAAGGAGACAACAAAAUGUUUAAUAUUAUUUUGUCACCUUAGGUCGAUCGGUAUCUCACGUUCUUUAUUUUUUAAGAAUUUCAUUUCCUAAGUUUUUCUAGGUCACACCCAUUAUUUUUCCUGGGCCAUUAGCUCAGGUGGUUAGAGCGCACCCCUGAUAAGGGUGAGGUCCCUGGUUCAAGUCCAGGAUGGCCCAUAUCUCUAUGUUGGGGGUAUAGCUCAGUUGGUAGAGCGCCUGCUUUGCAAGCAGGAUGUCAGCGGUUCGAGUCCGCUUACCUCCACUGAUUACCACCUCUUCCAUAAUCUGUAGAAAGGAAAUUUUUUGAGAUGUGAUCAAUUUCUGAACGAAUCUAGCUUCCUAGUAAAAUUAUUAAGAUGCUGGACUCAUUGAAUUAAUUUCAUUGUUUUCAGAGAACCUUGACAACUGCAUAGAUUAUUUUUAAAGACAAUAAGCAUCUUUAAUGAUGCAGAUUUAUUAUUUGUGCAAAUGCAUUAAUAACAAUUCUAUUAAGCUGAUGCUUCAAUUUUGAAGUUAUU
rnacentral:tRNA from 1 species